rnacentral:rRNA from 1 species
GAUGAACGCUGGCGGCGUGCUUAACACAUGCAAGUCGAACGAUGAAGCCCAGCUUGCUGGGUGGAUUAGUGGCGAACGGGUGAGUAACACGUGAGCAACCUGCCCCUGACUCUGGGAUAAGCGCUGGAAACGGCGUCUAAUACUGGAUACGAGUAGCGAUCGCAUGGUCAGUUACUGGAAAGAUUUUUUGGUUGGGGAUGGGCUCGCGGCCUAUCAGCUUGUUGGUGAGGUAAUGGCUCACCAAGGCGUCGACGGGUAGCCGGCCUGAGAGGGUGACCGG